rnacentral:rRNA from 1 species
GCGGAGGAAAAGAAACCAACAGGGAUUGCCUCAGUAACGGCGAGUGAAGCGGCAAAAGCUCAAAUUUGAAAUCCCCCCGGGGAGUUGUAAUUUGAAGAUUGCGUCUUGGAGGCGACCGUGUCUAUGUUCCUUGGAACAGGACGUCACAGAGGGUGAGAAUCCCGUGCGGCACGGCCCCCGGCUCCUUAUAAGGCGCUCUCGACGAGUCGAGUUGUUUGGGAAUGCAGCUCAAAGUGGGUGGUAAAUUCCAUCUAAAGCUAAAUACAGGCGAGAGACCGAUAGCGAACAAGUACAGUGAUGGAAAGAUGAAAAGCACUUUGAAAAGAGAGUGAAACAGCACGUGAAAUUGUUGAAAGGGAAGGGCAUGCCGUCAGAUUGUCAGUGUGGGUAAGAAGCGGGGUACAAAGACUGUGGAACGUGGCCCUCGGGUGUUAUAGCCGCAGUUCAUGCCCCGUCUCUUUCCGAGGCCUGCUUUGAGGACACCGACGUAAUGACGGUACGCCGCCCGUCUUG